GCAUUGUCAUCCUUCUACGCCAGGCUCCAGGCUUAUAAGAAGCUUAUCAACUCCAACCUCUCCCCUCCCUCCUGCCCCCAGCGAAAUAACGUCCUCUUUCUCUGGAGUCCCUCCACGGCUCCAAGGAUUUGACUUCCCAGCCAGCCCAGGCCUGGGAACUCCACUUUCCUGGAGCCAGAAUCUUGCUAGCCGGGGUGAAGACCUCCACCCACCACCCGAUAGGCCACAAGAUGUCUAUUGCCCUCCAGAGCCCGCUUCCAGGGGCAAAUUCCAGCCCAUCCCAGCUCUGAAACGUGCCAAAGCCUGUCCCUUGCAGCUUCUCCCUGGGCACACAAUGAGGAAACAGACGCUGGGGAAGGUUUGGUCAUCUGACGCUUUCUCCCAGACGUGAAGUCAGGUCUGGCGGAUUCCAGAGCUCUGGAUCUUUCCAUAUCUGAUGCUCAGCUGACCUGCUCUUCAUACUCUGACCUGUGGCCUCACGGUAUAAGUGAGGGACGGUGCCUGGUUUGAAGCCACAAGCAGGGGUCAUGCUGGUUGUAUGGCAGGGACAUUCCCAAAUGUCACAGCCCCAGAACGAGAUCCAGGGAUGAGAGGCGGGCUGGCUGGGAAUGCGUCGGAGACUGGCCACCUCGGGGUGGAGGCUGCAGGGGGGUGGACUAGGGGGGUGCAGGGAGAGAAGCCCCCACCCACUCACCGCUCAAGGCUCCAGGUGUCCACCUUUCCCAGGGGUCUGGCUUGAAGGUCCCAGGGUGGGGAAGAGAAUCUGGGUUUCCAUCCCAAUUCCUAUGCUAACUGAAGUCUGACCUUGAGCAGAGUAACUUCGGAGCCUUCCUUGUCUUAUCAGUGCAACAGCUUCUAACGCCUGCCCCAGAGGCUGCUGGGAAGGUCAAAGUGAGCUAACGCACGCCACGUUUGGAGCACUGGUGCUUGGCACCCCCAGGCUGCUCGUUCUGCAGAACAGACCUUUGCAGGUGAUCACACGGGGGGGGGGGCGAGGAUCACCCCACCCAUUUCCUGCCUCUCAGAGAUGUCCCACAUCGGAGCCUUCCACAUGCAGCUUCCUCACGGCCACUGCAAGCUGGCUCAAGAACUGAGUCUUGCCUCGGGAUGCCUCGGAAAUGCGGGGGCUGCGGGACGUUCUGCACAAUGUCAGGAACUCCUGCACAUCCCUCUCCCUCCCAAAUCCAGGUGGGGAGGUGCUAAGCCUGGGGCUGCCUGGAAAGGGAAGGUUUGGGAAUACCAUGCCAAGGGCACAGGAAGAGGCUGCCAUGCAUGACCCUGCGGGAGCCCCUGCCUUCCAGAAACGUCCGGGGAGCACAUGCCGUGGCAGGUGUUCGCGGGCACUUUCUGAAUAAUGCCUGAUAAAGACCAGGGGACCCAGGGAUGCUCCCUUCUCUCCUCCCGCCUCCGGGGGCCGAGCAGGGCAUGCCUGCUCCCACCCCAUCCAGCCAGGGCAGUAGUGGCCCAGCCCCGCAGGCCCUCCCUUCUGGCUUCCCUUCUGCCUCCCACAAAUGAGAUGCUAAUUUAUGCCCCUCCACUGUCUCCUGGCAGAUGCCUGGCCCAGCUCAGCCCCAGAGCUGCCUGCAUGCCAAGUGCUUCAUUAGCCAGGAAAGAAGGCUCUCGCCCUCCUUAAUCUAAUCCUCGCCAGUGACCUUCAGGAGCCAGGCACCUUCUGAUGCCGGGGCCUGGGAGGGUGGGACAAUCAAUUAUGCCUCGGCCUCCACAGCUGCUGCCGAAUGGAUUUCUCGCUCAGAAAAGCAUGUUCAAAAAGCAUCUAAUGGAACGGAUCAUCAAUUUGUUUGAAUACACAUUUAAUCUGAUUAGGGGGGCCCAGCCACCGGGGCAGCCAGUGCAAGUGAGCCCCAACACGGCCCUGGGGAACCGUGAGUGGGGUGGAGGGGCCCCGCGUGGGGAAGGGGAAGGAAGGGCGUAGGCCCCAAGCCCACCACCAACCAGCUUGGCCCGCUGUACCUUCAGCCAGAAAGUCACACAGAAAAGAAGAAUGAACCAUGCAGAGGCCACAAGGGCUGGGCAGAUGCCUCCUGCUUUUCUACGGCCCCAGCACAGGGCACAGAGCCCGGGGCAAAGAAAAUGCUCAGGAAAUAAGUGAAUGAACACACGAAUGGAGAAUGAAUGGUGAUGAAGCCAAGGGAUGCCGAUCUUGUCACUUCCAGGAGAAGAAUAAUUGACGACUGAAUUGGGUUGAAUGAUGCACUGCCCUCUCCCCCGCCAAAUUCAUGGCCUAACUGGAACCUCAGAACGAGACCCUAUUUGGAAACAGGGUGUUGUAGCUGUAAUUAGUUAAGAGGAGGUCAAACGGGAGUCGGGUGGGCCCUGUGUGACUGGUGUCUUUAUGCGAGAGACAUGGGAACAGAAAUGCAGGGAGAGGAUGGCCAUGUGACGGUGGAGGCGGUGCGUUGACCGCCCAGGGAAGCCACGGAUUGCCAGGAGCCCCCACGAGCUGGAAGAUGCAGGAAGGAUUCUUGCCUCCAGCCUCCAGAGGGAGCGGGGCCCUGCCGACACCUUGGUUUCAGACUUCUGGCCCCCAGAACUGUGAGAAAAUCCAUUUCUGUUUGAGUCACUCAGUUUACGGUACUUUGUUACGGCAGCCCUAGGAGACAGAUGCAAUGCCUCACAGAGACUUGGGUCUGUCAUUGCACAUAAGUCAGCCUGCCAGAGAACAAAGAGCACUAACUAGGAAGUGAGUCUGGAGCCCCAAGUCCUGCCGGUCUAGACCACGACCUUCUUCAGACGUGUCCCCAUGUCCGCAUGUCUGCCAUGCCCCAGGGCCUUUGCUUGUUCCAUUCCCUUUCCCCAGAGAGCCCUUUCUUUCCUUCUUUGCCAGAAAAAUGUAGGUGUUAAAUCUGUGUUAGUUUCUGCCCUGUGUCCCCUCUAAGCUCAAAUGGCCUGUCCUCUGUAACUCUCUUCCUGCUGUCCUCCUCCACAACCUUCUGACUUCUGAGGGUCUUUGCCUCUCUUACAGCAUAGAGGAUGCACAUCACAGCCCCCUGUGUGGUGGCACCCAUGCUGCUCUUCCACUGGAAGACAGGGACAGGGGACCCCUCGCCUCUCCAGCCCCAGAGCCUGGCAGUGAGUCCGGUGUGCAGGAGGGCCCAGAUCCAUGAGUGCAAAAGUGGACACAUAAACUUGCCGUUGAACAUGGCCGGAUCAUCUCCCUCGUGUCGGCAGACCCUGCCGGGGGACCUGGACCUUCCCUUCCAGCUCCGGUGUUGCAAGAUCUGAGUAGUGGUAUGAGUUACGACCUCUCUGGGCCCGGGGCAGGCUUACUCGGAUUCAAACUUGGCUUAGCCACUCGCUAGCUGCGUGACCCCGGGGGCAGCUCCAGAGCCCCUUUGAGUCUCCGUUUCCCCACCUGGGAACUGGGCUGCGGACAGCAGCCUCCUCCUAGGCCUCGUGAGAAGGGUAAGGGCUGAGACCAGUGCCGGGCACAAAUGACCCAUCCUUACGUUUGCUCUGAGCCCUGUCACAGCCAGGGCCUCCCGCUGGAACUGUGCAGGUGAGGAACGCCUAAGCAGCCCCAGCCUUGGGCGGAAAGAAGGGGGGGUUCUCAUUUCCAAUGGGUUUAUCUUGCAAAUAACAGAGGGGAAGGGAGACUUUCCUUACAUUUCGGCUGGAGGGUUAGGAGAUUAAAAUGACACCGUGGAUUAGAAUGCUUUUGCCUAACGGUGCUAUUAUCAUUUUCCUGUAUUCAGAUUCAUUUGAGCUAUAAAAGCGGCGGUAAUAAAAUUUUCACUAACUCCUGGAAUUUCUCCCACGAAGCUCCGUUAUGCUGUGUGGAUGAUGUUUGUCUCCCCCCCCUCCGUGACCCCAGGGCGGGGCACCUGCUUGGCACAAUUCUCCGGCCUUUCAGCUAGGACCUGAGACCCCUGGCCAUGAAGGGACUCGGCAAAGCUCAGCUGUGGGGGUCAGCUGCCCGGACAGGCCUGCGCGGCCCCACGGAGACUCGUUCCACCGGCAUCUGGCACUUCCCCAGGGGACCGUCUUACAGAUUCCUCAGGUGAGCUCUCUCCAUCACGUGGGUACCACCAUCAGCCCGUCUCUAAGCUCUAAAGACAGAGAAACAUCCCACCGGCCCCGAGAAGCCAAGGUACGGAUAUUUUCAAGAACCUACAGCCUGUGGGUCCCCAGUGCCCCAUGAUGGCACCACCAGACACAGGGAACUGAGGCCUGUGCCAGGGCAGUGGACAAGUGGUCCCAAGCUCUGGGUACCAUGCUCUCCCUUGCCUCCUGUUUCCCACUCUGAGAAAGGCCAUCACCUAAAGGAGACUGUCCACUGUGUCUGAGGAAGCGAGGACAGAAGGGGACGGAAGACAGAAGAGGGGGGUCUGACCUAGCACUGGCAUCGACGUCCUAAUACGCACCAGAGAGCUCAGGCGCACGGCAGCAUGAUGGGGGCUCCCCCCGGGCCUCGGCAUCCCACCCAAUUUCAGUGGCCCCCCCUUCCCUUCCCUUCCCUUCCUUCUUCCCUUCCCUUCCCGCUUCCCUUCCCCCUUCCCUUCCCUUCUCUUCCUUCUUCCCUGACAUCAGCGUGGGCCGCUCAGCCCAGGGAGAAGGGAAAGGAGGAUGUUCGGUGAAGACCUCAUCCUCACCAGCCCCCCGUGUUUUCUCACUUAGCCCCCGACCACUUUGGGGGAGACAUCAUUACCAUCCUUUUAUUUCCCUCAGCAAAGCCCAGAGGUGAGCGGAGCGAGGUCACCCCGGAGUCAGGGCCGGGUUUCGAACCCGCGAGGCCUCUGAUGGCCGCUCAGGUCGACGUGGUGUUCGGGCCACGGGAGAGGAGUCCGAUGCCGGGCCCCCGUGGCGGGUGCGGGGGGCGCGGAGGGAAAACCAGAGUGGCGAGUCUGCUGCCUCCACGCAGAGGCCGAGGCAUGGAGCCCGCCCGCCGAAGAAGCACACACACUCAUCAGGCUGGUGACCCCCGUGUCCCGGGGCUUUGCAGCGUGUAACGAAGACCGUGGAGCAGAAAAUUGGAGUUCAAUUUGCCGUCCACGCUGCGUGGCGCCCAGCCCAUUCCAGUCCCUGGCAGCGAAUGGGGCUCCCAGGCCUCUCCAGAGGAGCCUGGGCCUGGCAGAGCAUGCUGGGAAGCAAGCGAGAGAGACGGAGGCAGGAUUCACACCAACGAGACGGGCCAGGUUUAAGCAAGAGCACAUCCAUGGCGCCACGGUUCACACGGACACGGGGUUUGUGUUCCUGACACUGGGCCCCACGCCUUCUAGGUACGAGGUCUGGCCACCGGGCAAAACCCUGGCUGCCGUGGCCUCCCACAAGCUCCAAGUAUCUCGAGUAAGAAGCAUUUGUGGAACUCACCUAGUCUAACCCCUCUGGUUGGCCAAUGGGGAAACUGAGGCAGAG